GACAGGCAGCGCGCCGGCAGCAUGAGCAGAAGCUCUUCACAUUCUGGUCUCCUCCCCGCUGCACCAGCCAAAACAGGCAGCAGUGGCGCCCCUCCCUCCAGUCCUCCCUCCCCUCCCCACUGAAGACACAGCAGUCUUCAGCAUCACUCACCCCUCCCCUGCUAUCAGCGGUGGGUUCACGUACGAGACAGCAAUGCACAGACAGGAAGUCAUGUGAUGUACACCUGACUGGAGGAGCCAGCAGCCACAUGAUGAGGAGCAGCCCUGUUAGUGCACUAUCAGCCAGCCACACAGAGGGACAAAGACUCUGCAGAGGCUCAGACUUCUCUUUUCAAGAACCAUCUUUAAAAGACGUAUUAUACUCUCUUUUUGCAUUGAAUGUUCCACUUCCUUUAGGCCUGUUAGUGGAUUUUUAUAUGAACAGUGCCAUUAUCCAACAGAACACGGGGAAUGCGCACACAGUUUACAGAUUAAAGACUUUUACUGGCCACUGUGGAAAUGAAAUCCCUACUUUCCAACAAUUACCAGAACCCUGUACUCCUUGCAGUUCUGAAGAAACGUACCUGUUGGCAUUGGUAUUGGUCAAUUCUCAGAGGACGAUAUCUUUGAAAUGUUUGAAUGAACUGUAUACUCAGUACAGUGUGUUGGCGUAUCGGAUUGGAUGGCUACCGAUUUGCACUGAAAAAGUUGUUAAGGUGCAAUCCUAGGUAACAUCUGCUGACUGUAAUUGGAACCCUUAUUAUCCUUGUGAAUAACAGAUUAAAACGAACGUAAAAAUACA